rnacentral:rRNA from 1 species
UACGGAGGGAGCUAGCGUUGUUCGGAAUUACUGGGCGUAAAGCGCACGUAGGCGGCUUUGUAAGUUAGAGGUGAAAGCCCGGGGCUCAACCCCGGAAUUGCCUUUAAGACUGCAUCGCUUGAAUCCGGGAGAGGUGAGUGGAAUUCCGAGUGUAGAGGUGAAAUUCGUAGAUAUUCGGAAGAACACCAGUGGCGAAGGCGGCUGCACUGGACCGGUAUUGACGCGUGAGGUGCCGAAAGCGUGGGGAGCAAACAGG